rnacentral:lncRNA from 8 species
UGGGGGGGGGGGACAGGGGUCAAGCCUGACAGAGACACAGAGAACCCCGUCAGACAACACACAGAGAGAACCCUGUCAGACAACACACACAGAGAACCCUGUCAGACAACACACACAGAGAACCCUGUCAGACAACACACACAGAGAACCCUGUCAGACAACACACACAGAGAACCCUGUCAGACAACACACACAGAGAACCCUGUCAGACAACACACAGAGAACCCUGUCAGACAACACACAGAGAACCCUGUCAGACAACACACACAGAGAACCCUGUCAGACAACACACACAGAGAACCCUGUCAGACAACACACACAGAGAACCCUGUCAGACAACACACACAGAGAACCCUGUCAGACAACACACACAGAGAACCCCGUCAGACAACACACAGAGAGAACCCUGUCAGACAACACACACAGAGAACCCUGUCAGACAACACACACAGAGAACCCUGUCAGACAACACACACAGAGAACCCUGUCAGACAACACACACAGAGAACCCUGUCAGACAACACACAGAGAGAACCCUGUCAGACAACACACAGAGAGAACCCUGUCAGACAACACACACAGAGAACCCUGUCAGACAACACACACAGAGAACCCUGUCAGACAGAGAGAGAGAGAAUUGACCAUGCUUAGAACCCCAAUCAGCAGAGCACCACAGCGUGGAAACAGAAAAAGGAUAAAAUCAACCAAACAAACAAUCUUCCAUAAAAUCAAACUACCAUACAGUGUUUGUAUCUUGACCCUUUCCUCCGAAUGUUUGAGAGAAGUUCCAGAAUCCUAACAGAGUAUGCAGAAGUUGGCCAGCAUCGGGGGAUUAGAGAGCACCAGCUCAGCUGCAUGUGCGUGACCAUCUCUGUGGGACAGCUGUGCUCUGGUGUGCUCCUCAAGCAACACAGACGGCAAGGCCUCUGUCACAGCUCGGUAUGGAGCACGACCAGCCAGCCAUUGACAUGUUCAUAUUUCAUGUAUUGCACUCACAUGGGACAUUCAUUUUAUUUCAGAAAACCCAUCUCCACUUCUUCCUUCUCAUGACUGUCUGGAUGCAUUCUAGAACCUUCCGGGCUAGAAUUUAUUUUGGCCUGGUUGAGAUAACUGGAUAACCUUUUAUUCAAUGGGCUUCUACACUUUUGGCACUUUUAGUAAUC